rnacentral:rRNA from 1 species
UGGGAACGCGAAGAACCUUACCUAGACUUGACAUCUCCUGAAUUACCCUUAAUCGGGGAAGCCCUUCGGGGCAGGAAGACAGGUGGUGCAUGGUUGUCGUCAGCUCGUGUCGUGAGAUGUUGGGUUAAGUCCCGCAACGAGCGCAACCCUUAUUGUUAGUUGCUACCAUUUAGUUGAGCACUCUAGCGAGACUGCCCGGGUUAACCGGGAGGAAGGUGGGGAUGACGUCAAAUCAUCAUGCCCCUUAUGUCUAGGGCUACACACGUGCUACAAUGGCUGGUACAGAGAGAUGCUAAACCGCGAGGUGAAGCCAAACUUUAAAAACCAGUCUCAGUUCGGAUUGUAGGCUGAAACUCGCCUACAUGAAGCUGGAGUUGCUAG